UAAACGACUCUCGGCAACGGAUAUCUCGGCUCUCGCAUGGAUGAAGAACGUAGCGAAAUGCGAUACUUGGUGUGAAUUGCAGAAUCCCGUGAACCAUCGAGUCUUUGAACGCAAGUUGCACCCGAAGCCAUUAGGCCGAGGGCACGUCUGCCUGGGCGUCACAC
rnacentral:rRNA from 1 species